rnacentral:lncRNA from 1 species
UAAACUGGCGGGAAAUAAAAAUUAUCAAUAACUCAGGAAAAUAAUAUAUUGAAUGGGAAAAUACAUAUUCCUGGCAGACAGCAUAAGCACUUGCUAGCCAAACCAUCUGUGCUGGCGGGUGAUGUAACCACAUCGCUAGCACAGAAAGCAUCUAUGCUGGUAGGUGGCUAACAUCAUCCGGUAUUUGUGCUAGCUCAAGAUUCUUGGCGGGUGCAAUACCUGUUAGCACAAACCUAUUCUAACCGCUAGCACAGAUGCUUUGUGGCGUAGUGCCUCCUGGAGCUUGGCCAAAGUUGCGGCUGAGCAAGGUAGCCAAAAUUGGCAGGGAGACGAGGGAGAGGAAGAUAAGCAUUGCUGCGCUUAGCUCCAUGAUGAUCGCUUGAUUAAUUAAGAGUUUACUAUGCAGUUUGCGUGGGAAUGAACAGCAAGAGUUAAGAGCUUUU